rnacentral:ribozyme from 1 species
GCCCAGCUGAAGGCAGGCACCUCUACGCGGUGCUGGGGACUAGUACCCGUACAUGUCUUGAUGGUCAGGGAAGCUAAGGUCUGC